AUUGAACGCUGGCGGCAGGCCUAACACAUGCAAGUCGAGCGGAUGACGGGAGCUUGCUCCUUGAUUCAGCGGCGGACGGGUGAGUAAUGCCUAGGAAUCUGCCUGGUAGUGGGGGACAACGUUUCGAAAGGAACGCUAAUACCGCAUACGUCCUACGGGAGAAAGCAGGGGACCUUCGGGCCUUGCGCUAUCAGAUGAGCCUAGGUCGGAUUAGCUAGUUGGUGGGGUAAUGGCUCACCAAGGCGACGAUCCGUAACUGGUCUGAGAGGAUGAUCAGUCACACUGGAACUGAUACACGGUCCAGACUCCUACGGGAGGCAGCAGGGGGGAAUAUUGGACAAUGUGCGAAAGCCUGAUCCAGCCAUGCCGCGUGUGUGAAGAAGGUCUUCGGAUUGUAAAGCACUUUAAGUUGGGAGGAAGGGCAGUAAGUUAAUACCUUGCUGUUUUGACGUUACCGACAGAAUAAGCACCGGCUAACUCUGUGCCAGCAGCCGCCGUAACAC
rnacentral:rRNA from 1 species